UUGGUAAUUUGCAUCUGUAUUCAUAAAAGAGUGUGUUCUAUAAUUUUUCUUUCUUGUAAUACCAAUGUCGGGUUCUAUCACUUUUCUAUAAUCCAGAAUUGUUUAUGAAAGAUUAGAAUUAUUUGUGCCUUGUAUGUUUAAACACAUUGAUAAACCCUCUGGGCAUGAAAAAUACAUGUUUUUCCACCAAAAAAUAAUUACAGCCUCAUAGAGGUUUUGUGUUUCUUCUCCAGUUUUUUUUGUAAGUUAGCUUUUUUUUUCCAUUUCAUAUAAAGGUUAAAUUUGUUGACAAAGUCUUUUUAAAAUAAUAUCCUCAUUUUUAAAAUGUCCCCUGCUAUUCUCCUUUGCACUGAUAAAGAAGAUUUUUAAAAAUAAAAAAUAAGAUGCCCCCUGCGUUUGUAGCUGUCUGUCUUUUUUUUGUCCCACAUAUUUUUUUCACGUCUUCUUUUUGCCUUGAACAGUACUGCCAGAGGUUUAUUAUUAGUCCUUUCAAGGAGCUAACUUUUGGGUUUGUCAAUCUGAUCUAUUUUUAUGUUUAGUUCAUAAAUUUAUCUGUCUUGUCCCAGAUAAUUCUCCAGUUGUUUCAAGUUCUAAAAUGUGCUGUUUUGUUAAUUUUUGCCUUUCCAAAUUUUAAUAUAUGCAUUUAAGUUAUGAAUUUUUCUUUGACGGCAUCCCAAAGGAGUAUUUAUAAUAUAGGUGUAAAUAUUUUCUAAUUUUAGUAUGACUUCUCUUUUUGGCCUAUGAGGUUUAUAGAAGGGCGUUCUUUAGUUUUAGAAAUACAUAAGAUUUAUUAGUAUAGAUUUCUAGUAUUUUUAAAUUUUGAACUUUUGAACAUUGUUUUUGAACUGACAAUCUUAUAAUAGAGAACAUUUUCUGUAUAACAUCAGUUCCUUAAAAAUUGAGCCCGGGCUCAAUGGCUCACGCCUAUAAUCCUAGCACUUUGGGAAGCUGAGGUGGGCAGAUCAUCUGAAGUCAGCAUUUCGAGACCAGCCUGGCCAACAUAGUAAAACCCCAUCUCUACUGAAAAUACAAAAAUUAGCUGAGCAUGGUGGUACACGCCUGUAAUCCCAGCUACCCCAGAGGGAAAAGGAGGCUGCAAUGAGCUGAAAUCACACCACUGCACUCCAGGCUGGGCAACAGAGCGAGACUCCAUCUCAAAAAAAAGAAAAAAUUGAAACUACCUUUUUGUCUCAGUAUGUAUAAAUCUUGCAUGCCUACCUGAAGAGAAUGUGUUCUUCAGUUGUUGGUGCCAUAUUAUAUGUCUUAUUAACUCAAGUUAUUUAGUUGUUCCACUCAAAUUUUUUGAAUAUUCAUAUCUAUUUUUAUCUGUUUUAUCAUUUACUAAAAGAGGCAUGUUAUUAGAUGCAUACCAGCUUGGAAUUGGUUUAUCCUCUUUAUCUUAAUAUAUAGUGAUUCUCUUUAUUUCUUGUAAUGCUUUCUGCCUUAAAAUUUAUUUUCCUAUUAGUAUAGUUUUUCCACUAUGCUUCUGUUAUUUGCCUUGGACACAUUUUUCUGUCAUUUUAAAUAUCAACUAUUCUAUUAUGUUUUUAGAGGUCUUUAAUAUAACCGAAAUUUUUAAAAUUUCAGAUGACUUUUUAUUGAGGUAGAACUUAUAUACAGUAAAUUGCACUAAUCUUACUUAUAUACUUUGAUGAAUUUUGAUAGAUGUAUAGUUUCAGGUAAUCACCAUCGCAUCCAACACCAGUACCCCAGAAAGUUACCUCAUGCUUCUCUGCAUUCACACCCACCACCCUCCAGAGGCACGCAUUCUUCUGAUUUCUAGCACCACAGAUAAAUCUUGCUUGUUUUUGAACUUCAUAUAAUGAGAAUAAUAGAUUUUUACUCUUUUAUGAUUUUUGAAACUAGAGAUUCUUCCGUGUGGCUCUGUUCAUCAGUUGUUCAUUCUUUUUAUUGCUUAGUAGUGGUUGAUUGCAUGAAUAGACCAUGAUUUGUUUACCCACUCUACUGUUAAUUGACAUCUGGUUGUUAACAGUUUGUGGCUAUUUUGUAGAAAGUACUAUGAACAUUCUUACACAAGUCUUUUUGAGGAAAAGUUUUCAUUUCUCUUGAACAGGCAGCUUCGAGUGGAAUGACUAGGUUAUAAGACAGGCAUGUCUUUAAUGUGUGUGGUGAGGCAGCAUCUAAGAUGGUCCCCAGGAAUCCUUGUCUCCUGGUUUUCAUGCCCUUAUGUUAUUCUCUCCCCUCAACGUGGGCUGGACGUAAUGACUUCCUUCUACACAAGUAGAAUAUGGCAAAAUUAGUGGGAUAUCACUUAUGAGCUUAAGAUGUAAAAAGACCGUGGCUUCCAUCUUAGGCUCUUGUUCUCACUCUUUCAAUUUGAGGGAAGCCGGCUACCAUGUUGAUAGCUGCCCUGUGGAGAGGCCCAAGAAACUGAGGGAGGGGAGGCCAUGAGCCCAAGAAAAACUAAGGUGUUCAGUCCAACAGUCUACAGAGAACUUAAUCCUACAAAUGACCACUAGAGUGUUUUUGGAAAUGGACCCUCCCCUAGUCCAGCGUUUGGUAAGAUCACUGCCCUGUCCAAUAGCUUAACAGCAUCCUCAUAAAAAAGUCUUGAAUCAGAUCCAUCAGCUAAGCUGCACCUGAUUCCUGACCUACAGAAAAUGAAAGGUAAUAAAUGUCUGUGGUUUUAAACUGCUAAGUUUUGGGGUAAUGCGUUACACAGCAAUAGAUUAAUAAUACAAUUAGAAAUUGUCAAACUGUUUUCCAGGAUAGUUUUGCAGUUUUACAUUCCUAUCACCAUUGAUGUUGAGGGUCUUUUUAAUUAUAGAAAUUUUGGUGGCUACAUAAUAGUACUUUAUUAUGAUUUUCACUUUUUUGAUGACUAAUGUUGUUAGGCACCUUUUCAUGUGUUUUACUGGGUGUUCAAAUAUGUUUAUUUGGAAGGGGUCUAUUUAAAUCUCUCCCCCAACUUUUUACAAUUAGGGUACUUGCAUUUUUGUUAUUGACUUUGUAUAUAUCCUAAGUAAAAAUUCUUUUUCAUAUAUAUUUCAAGUAUUUUCUCCCAAUCUAUGAGUUUCUUUAUCAUUUUUUAAGCAGUGUCUCUUAAUGAGUAGCUUAAAAUUUUUAUUUUAAUUUUGAUAAAUUUCAAUUUAUUAAUAUUUGUAAUUUUUAGUACUUUUGUGCCUUGUCUAAUAAACCAUUGACUACCCCAAGGUCACAAAGAUAUUCUUCCCAUGUUUUCUUCUAGAAUCUUUAUAGUUUUAGCAUUUAUGCUUAAAUUUAUGAUCCAUCUUGAAUUAAUUUUUAAGAAUAGUGUUCAUUUUUUCUAAUAGGUUUAUCCAGUUGUUCCAGCUCCAUUAGUUGAAAAGAUAAUCCUUUCCCCAUUGAACAGCACUGAUGUUUUUGUUGAAAAUCAAUUAAGCAUAUAUGUGUGGAUCUAUUUCUAAACUCUCUGGUGUAUUUAUCUGGCCUCAGGAUACUACCUGGCUGUCUUAAUUCUCUUAGUUCUGUAUUCUUUAAUCCUGCAAGACUACUGUUUAUACAAUCAACAUUUAUUUAUGUCUACGUAUUUAACUCUUUACAUAUUCCUUCUGUUACCUUAGGCUUUCCAAUAUCAAAAGAAUCCUUGAUAUUUUCCUUUAGUAGAUGCCUUCUGGGGUAAGCCCCCAGUUUUGUUUUUCUGGAAUAGAUCUUUAAUUUGCCCUCCUUUUGUGAGAGAGAUUUUGGCUAUAUCCACAACACUGCAUUGACAAUCAUUUUCUCUCAGGUAUUAAAGUUACUAUUCUUUCACAUUCUGCUUCUCACUGUUGUGAUGAAGAAGUCAGCUGUCAGUCUAAUCUCAAUCCCAGAACUUCUACUUGGUUUUUUUUUUCUCGCCUACUCCUUUUUUAUCUCUGAUGGUCUAUAGUGUCAUUCUGAUAUGUCUGCAUGUAAAUUUCGCUUUAUUUGCAGUAUUUUAAUUUUAAUUUAAUUUUUUUUUUUUACCCUUUAAACUUGUGGUUUUGUGUCUUUCUUCACUUUAGGAUAAUACUCACCUGAUAUGUCUUUGAAAACUGUUCUUGCCCUAGUCUCUCUUUCCUCAUUGAUUCUGCAAUUUGGAUUAGAUGUUCUUACUCUAGCAUUCCUAUUCUUCUGUCUCUCUGCUUUUGAGGUAAUUCUUCAGAUAUAUGUUCAUAUUGAUUUAUUUUUCUCUAUUUCUCAUAUUCAUUGGAAUUUUGCUUUUUGAGAUUGUAUUUUCAUUUCUAGAAAUUCUGUUUCAUUUCUUUUCUAAUGUGUUAUUUUUAUAUGUCUUUAUUUUUUACUCUGUUAAUUUAUUCCUGUGUUUUUUUAUGCAUAGUAAACAUACUUGUUUGUUCCUCUGCUAAUUCUCAUAACUGAAGCCUCUGUGGGUCUACAUUGGCUGCCUUGUUUUCCUGCCUGCUCUCUUGCUCAUGGUGCCUUGUUUCCGAGUGUAUUUUGUCCUUCUUGACUGUGAGUUCACAUUGCUUGGAUUUUUAUCUGCAGGAAUUAUUUGAAGCCUGCAUUUAAGAUGUUUUCUCUAGAGAGGAUUUGCAUUUGUUUCCAUCACUCACUGGUGCCACCGUGAACUUGGACCCACCGUAAACUAAUUUCUCUGCUUGAGAUUUCAGGCCCAUCCAGGUGAUAUGAAUUCAGCCAGGCUACAAACCAGAGUGAAGGCCAGUUUGAAGUUAUCAAGUGGUAGAGAAAUUUAUUUUUUCCCCUUUCAUUCAGUGCUGAGGUUCAAGACAGGCAAUUUCCCUUGUAGUCCUCUGAGUGGAAGGGCCAGGUAGGGAAGACUAGGCAGAUUAGAUUCUAUUUCACCCUUACACUGAGGCUUUGGUAACUGGGGGGGUCCCAGUUUCAUCUGUGAAAUCUCUAAGACUCCCCACCUCAGUGAACCCCAAGAUUUGUUUUGUUCCCAUAACCCAGGAGGCCAUGAAAACUGAAGCUAAAUUUCAUCUAGGUUAGCAAAAUCUAUAACGUUAAAGGGGCCUCAAUGAUCAGCUGAUGUCUCUGUGUUCUCACGCUCCUUUAGGGCUUGAAUGUUGAAUAAUCUUAAUAGUUUUCAGAGGGUGGACUGGUUAGGGAACUUAAAACUACCAUCUGUGUUGCACUGGAGGUCCAGGUUUCCAAUUUUUCAAAAGAUUACGGAACUUGACAUGGUAUGAUAAAAUCAGCUCAACUUUAAAAGUUGGCAGCUUCUUUUUAAAUUAUGGAUGUGCCAACUUUCUGAGAAUCACAUCUGGCUGAAGAGUUGUCAAUUGGCUAGAAAGCUCCAUGGAAGUUUGUUGAUCAUGGCUCCAUUAGAGAAAGAUAACAUCUAUGAAUGAGACAGAUAUAUAAUUUCGUUUAUUAUAGGAAUUUGUCCUUACACAUUUGGGAGACCUGGUUAAACAAUCUAGGUAAGGUUGUCUUUGUGUCUGAUGCUGGAGCUUGAAGUCAGUGGGAUGGGAAUCAGGAAAAAAAGAUGGAUGUGAAGUGGGGGAGAAUGAUGAUGAACUGGAACCCACGACAAUCUCCCACCACUUCUGUCUUUCUUCCUGAAACUCAGCAUGUACCUAGCCCAGGAGUUGGAGAAGCUAGAAGAAAAUUGGUGGGAGCCAAAAGACUAAAGUCUCGGCUGCUGCCCCACACUAACAAGGUGAUCGAGCAGGUGAUCUCCAACAGUGCCUGUGGCUCUGCACUGAUUUUCCAGCACAAAAAGAGUAUGGCAGAUGCUGCAUUCUCACCUUCCAAACCUCAUGCAGCCAUGCUAACUCAGGGAAGGAUUUUGGGAAAUGUUGUUCCAGCUCAGGUAGGUUGAUACAUUAAAAAUAAAAAUAAAACAGGGAUAACAAUGAGGGGUGGAUUUAUAGAGACAGGGGUCUCACUAUGUUGCCCUGGUUUUGAACUCCUGGGCUCGAGCAAUCUUGCCUCAGCCUCCAGAAUAGCUGGGAUUACAGGUGUGCACCACUGUGUCUGGCUCAGGUAUCCCUGUUUUAACUGCCUGCUUUGGCUUGAACACAUUGUACUCAGGGGAACCAAUUUCAACCAGUUUCAACUUGCAUUAUAGAGAUUGGCUUAAAUAAAAUAAGCACCAGAAAAUAGGAAGAAGGAACAUAAUCUUCUCUAAUUAUAUAAGUUCUACUUUUAAGUCAAAUAAGGGUCACUUUGAAACUCAAGCUCCUUCUUAUCUGAAACAGGUAUUUAAGUUUUACCAAUGAAUCUGCUGAGUUUGUAGAGAUCUGUUGAAAGAAAAAUCUAUUCAUAAUAUUCUAGGCUUCUACUCUAAAGACUUAAGAAAUGUAUUGGAUAGUCUCAUUUGAAGACUAUUUCUCUCAGAAAGCAGUGAUAUGUCCUCUAGAGCAAAACCAUUUUGAGAUUUGCUUCUAUGAAAGGCAAGCUUGGCCAUUACAAAACAUCAUUUUGAAUCAGCUCUUCUUUCCCAGUGUAGAGCUAGUUGAUUUAGUUAAUAAACAUGGAUUAUACUGGGCUUAAGGGGCACAGAGACGCAGAAGGACCAGCAUUCAGCAUAAAGACUUUUAGAAAGAAAGUAAUUUUAUGAGUUAAAAGAAAUUUAAACAAAGUAGAUAAUGUGGUAUUAAUAAGAGGCAAGGCUGGGCGCGGUGGUUCAUGCCUGUAAUUCCAGCACUUUGGGAGGCCAAGGCAGGUUGAUCACCUGAGGUUAAGAGUUUGAAAUCAGCCUGGCCAACAUGGUGAAACCCUGUCUCUACUAAAAAUGCAAAAACUAGCCAGGUGUGAUGGUGGGUGCCUGUAAUCCCAGCUACUGGGGAGGCUGAGGCAGGAGAAUCGCUUGAACCCAGGAGGCGGAGGUUGCAGUGAGCCGAGAUUGUGCCACUGCACUCCAGUCUGGGCACCAGAGCAAAAACUUCAUCUCAAAAAAAAAAAAAAAAAAAAGAUGUAGGAAGCAAGUGAGGUAUGGCUUUGCAGAAUAAGGAUUUUAAAUGGAUUGGUGGUAUAAGCGGGCAAAAAAUAUUCCUGUGAUGGUUAAUUUUAUUUUUCAACUUGACUAAACCACAGGUACCCAUACAUUUGGUCAAACAUUAUUCUAGGUGUGUCUGUGAGGGUGUUUCUGGAUGAGAUUAACAUUUGAAUCUGAAGAAUAAAACAGGUUCCUCCUUAAUGCGAGUGAGUUUCAUCUAAUCUAUUGAUAACCUGUAUAGAACAAAAAACUGAGCAAGAGAUAACGUUGCCUGCCUGCCUGCCUACUUGAGACAUUAGUCUUCUGCCUUCAGAUUGGAAUUUAUAUUAAUACCAUCUACUCCUUGGUUCUCAGUCCUUCUGACAUGAACUGGAACAACACCAUCAGCUCUCCCGGAUCUCCAGCUUGCAGACAGCAGAUCAUGGGACUUUUCAGCUUCUGUAAUUGUGUGAGUCAAUUUCUUAUAGUAAAUCUAUGUCCAGUUUUUUCUGUUUCUCUAACAGAGUGGAAAGUGCAUAAGAGGUAGCAAGAGGACUGCAAGGAAAGUAGCUAGGAGUCUGUUAUUAUCCAGGUGGAAGAAGAUGGUGAUUUGGAUUUGGUGAUGGACUGGACCAAGGCUGAUUUCUAGUGUUGUAGAUUUUAUUACCAGUAGAUGGUGGAGGUCAGCCACUGAGAGAGGGAAGAGAAUAAGCAGAAUGCUUAUAGAGUAUAUGGAUAGUGGAUAGAACAUCAUGAGUUUGUUUGAAAUAUGUCGACUUGAAGAUGUUUGAGUCAUCAAGCAGAAAUGUGGACAUGUGGGGCUAGAGAUAGUAAAGUGGGAGGUGUAUUUGAUUGUGGUUGGUGGAGUAUUUCCGUAUCGCUGAGUUAAUGGUACUUUGUGUAUAAAACCUCAAGAAAAAGAAACCUGAGGCCGGGCACGGUGGCUCACGCCUGUAAUCCCAGCACUUUGGGAGGCCGAGGCGGGUGGAUCACGAGGUCAGGAGAUCGAGACCAUCUUGGCUAACAUGGGUGAAACCCCGUCUCUACUAAAAAUACAAAAAAUUAGCCAGGCGUGGUGGUGGGUGCCUGUUGUCCCAGCUACUCAGGAGGCUGAGGCAGGAGAAUGGCAUGAAGCUGGGAGGUGGAGCUUUCAGUGAGCUGAGAUAGUGCCACUGUGCUCCAGCCUGGGCAACAAAGCAAGACUCUGUCUCAAAAAAAGAAAAAAAAAAAAACCUGAAAACAUAAUUGGAUUCCAUGGAGCAUCCACUGUCUCACUGUCUCUUUUUGGCUGGUAAGACUAGGAAGGUGCAAUUGAGGAACUGAUUGUCUAGCCAAUUCACCAUGUAGAUUGCAUCCUCCCAGGGUAAACAUUUCCUCUGAAAUGCUGUCAUUUCUAUAGUUAGACACGAGGCAAAGCCCUGACCAGAGUUCCAAAGUGUCCAGCCUCUGUUACCCUCUGAGAUGGUUUCACAGCUCGUGUUUGAAGAUGUGUAGUUUUCGGCCCAGGGAAUAUGACAAGGAGAAAAUUGGUCAUCUCUCCCAGGUUUACGAAGCUCUGAGAUUUUUCUCUAUCAAACCUUCCUUUCGUGGCACAUUUCUGCAUUCAGUUAAAACUUCUGCUCAGCUCAAAUUCCACUUAAUGUACCUGUGAAACAUGGGAAACUGGGUCCCUUUCCUUCCUGGCUGUACUUGGAAGUCUCAUGAAUCAAAAAACCCUACAAAACUUUAAAUGUUAUCACAAAGUCUGUUUUGAAAACUAAGAGAAUAAUUUAUUAGCUGUUGGCAUUAUCAGUUUGUUCUCUGUCUCAGGCUCAUUUUUUGUUGAAAUUGUUUUUGUUGAAACAGUGAUUACUUAUCCAGAUUUCUCGUUUUCAUUUCCUUCAUCAUAAGAAUCUACAUUAAUCACUUCCAAACCUAGACAAGCUUUUAGAUCAUAUUGUGUUUCCAUCCUUAGAGAAUGGAGACAAUGGCUUUUGUUACUUUGGGGAGCGACCUUCAGAACAUCAUAAAAGCCAAAUAAUAUAUGUGGUAGCUGAAAUAGAAGAGGUUAGCUCUGGUCUUUCCCAGGAAACAGCAGUUUCACACCAACACCUAGGAUUACUCUGUGUGUUACAAGUUUGAGAAAAAUAAUAAUCAGAGAAAGUUAUGACUGAAAGGGAAAUAACUUAGAAAAAACUGGUGGGAAGGUAUAAAGUUGGUGUAUUUUUGGUCAAUUAAAGCAGCUGCACUUGGGGAGUUCUCAGAUUGGGUGGGAAAUUUCAUUGUGGUCAGAAUCACAAGGGGAGCUUUUGAAACGUGGGUCACAACCCACACAAAUUAAAUCGGAAUGCCAGGGCAUUUAUUGAUUUGAAUUUUUUUCUUUAAGGAGGUGGUUGAGAACCAUUGACGUAGACUGACUUAGCAGAUCUUCAAAUGUGAAUAGGGAAUCCUGCCAUUCCACUGAUGAGAACAGCAUGCUUAGGAUAUUGCUUCUGAGAAGAGGUAACCCAAGUUAAAACCCCAAUAGCUAAAUUAACAUACUUGAUAAAAUAAAGAUCUACAGUGCCCACUGUGUGGGCCCAUUAUACUUCUGUGUUGCCACUCUAAUGCUACUGUCUAUAUAAAACUUGAGCAAAUCAGUAGGAUUCUUUAAUUCAAAAGUUGUGUGUCUCUAAGAAGGUGACAUAAUUCAUUGCAAUCUUUAAAGUGUAUAUAUUUUUCAAACAAUUUCUUCAUUGACCUGAAGUUCAUUAGCACUCGUUGAAUCUUCAAGAGCUCAGUUUAAUUUCUACUUCCAGAAAACCACUUUAAAAAUUGUUCCCAUAUUUUAGCUGUGCUGUUUGAUCAACACUAAUGAACCAACAGCCAUAUUGAAGAGCCUGGUCUGUAUCAAUGUAAUGGGACAUUUGAAGUAACGGUGAGUGAGAUUUUAAUGCCAGGCAACUUUAAGAACAUGAUAUUGGCUACCAUCAUGUUCAACUCCAUGGUCCAAUUAGUUUUCUGCCUGGAUAUUAAUAAUUUUGACAAUAAAAUUAUGACAUCAUUUUCCUGCAACACUUGUGACUCAUCUUCUAUUUUUGAGUUAAGCUUUUUCAGAGUCUGAUUCAAAGGAACUGCAGAGGCCUAGGGUUUUCUAAUUAAAGUCCAUGGCAAGUAUCACUGACAGAUUUAGAUUCAUAAACCAUAAGUGAAUCCAUAUUAUAUACCAUGGAUGUGCUUUUUGAGUUGGGCAUUCUAGCUGGUAUCUAGUACCAGUUCCAUUUGUGGCAGGAGGCAAGGGAGGUUCAGAGCGGUUAAACAAACAUUGUGGCCAAGACCAUGUGCUUAGAGACUUGUAGAUUAAACCCAGGUCUCUGAUUCCUCACUAGUAUGUUUUCGUAAUAAUCCAUGGUUCUGACUGUUUAAAAGUAGCUUUUAUAUUUAUUGGGUAGAAAUAUCUUCCUGUAACAUAUGUCAUCUGCAGCUUCCAUAGGUAAAUACACACAGUUUAUAAAGACAAGCAUUCUGGCUAUUUUGAAGUUUUUUUAUCCAGGCUGAAGAGGAUAUUUGACAGAUCCUCCAGCAAGUAGACUAGAGUGAUCUUCUUGGUCAUCCUACCCUGCAGGAAAUGGGAGGCCCACCUUCUGUUCUUACUCUUAAUAUAUCCAUUUCCUUCAUGCCACUGGACGCAAUUUGCAAUUAUUUAUUUGUCUCUUUACUUGUUUUAAUUUAUCUCUUCUUCUAGAUUAAGCUCUGUAAAUGUGAUAAUUCUACUUGGUUUAUGCCCAGCAUCAAGGCGUGCAGGAAAUAUUUGUUUGAAUUGACUUCCCUCUUAGAACCUGCUGCCUCGUGUUGAAUGCAAUGCUCUUGCUAUGUUCUGAGCAAGGUCUAGGGCCAAAUGAGCACACUUUCCUUUCUUUCCCUUCUUGGUAUGAUUCUGAACAACUUAAGAUUAUUAUUGCAGUCUAGUUGCAUUAGAAUUGGCAGUCUCAUUAGUGUUAUCUUUCACUGAACUUAGAAAAAAAAAUAUGAUGCUAGGGCCAUAUUUUGUUAUGUUACCUUUUAGAUGUUUCCCCCUCUUAAUAUAUCUUAAAUACCUUAUUCUUACUUCUAACUUAUUAGCAAUUUCAUGCCACCUACAAUUUUUUAUUCCAAAUUUCUUAGAAGGGAAUGUAGGAUAUUUCUUUAAAGCUUGAGCUUCAGACUCAGGAUUUUGAGCCCAAGCACCUCAUCUGCUGGAUGUCUGCUGGAUGUUUCACCUUGGAGAAGGCUUUUUGAGGCUGAGCUAUUUCUCAUGUUCAAAAGAGAUAUUGGUGUCUUCUUUGUAGCACUGUUAUAAAGACGAAAUGUGGAAAUGUAGGUGAAGCCUUACGAUAUGGCAGUGAUUGGUGUUAGUGUAGUCAUUCCCCCCUCAAACUGGUUAGAACUGAUGAUUUCUUUUGUUCCUAACUCUAAUCCCCUCUCUGGUGUUCCUUAUCCACAAGAGGCAUCCUGUUGUAUGUAGUGGCCACAUAACAGACUGCAAAGAACUGGAACGCAGAGUAAUUUUAAUCCAAAAUGUUCAAAGGAUGAACAAAACUGCAAUAAAGCAGAGUAAGUAAACACAAAGAGUGGCCAAGAUGGCCAACUAAAAGCAGAUAGGAUGCGUGGCUCUCACAGAGAGGAAAGGAAGGAAGGGGCAAGUAAAUACAGCACUGCCAACUGACACAUCCAGACAGUCAACACUGGGACUAAUCAAGGAAACAACUCGACCCACAGAGAAUGGAGAAGAGCAAGGCAGGACGACGGCCCAUCUGGGAGCAGAAUGUGGAGCCAAGGGAACCUCCCUUGCCAAGGACCAAGACAAGUGGCAAGCCAUAUGAUGACUGACCAGAAACAUUAGAAAGAAUGGAAGAUGGUUUCCUGAAGCUUCGCUACUCUGGAGGUGGAAUGAAUUGUGCCAAAUGUCAACUUCUAUGGCUCAAUGAGCCCUUUCCUGAGCCUGUCAACAGUGAACUAAAGAAAUACAAUCUCUGUUUCUCCAGUCAACGGUAGAACAGUGCUUGCA